rnacentral:SRP_RNA from 1 species
GGUCAAGUCCCGUGCGACUGAGACGAACUCAACCCCGCCAGGUCCGGAAGGAAGCAACGGUCAGUUUUUUCUCAGAGUGUUACGGUAAGCUUGACCAAU